rnacentral:rRNA from 1 species
GACGUACGCUGGCGGCGUGCUUAACACAUGCAAGUCGAACGGAAAGGCCCUGCUUUUGUGGGGUGCUCGAGUGGCGAACGGGUGAGUAACACGUGAGUAACCUGCCCUUGACUUUGGGAUAACUUCAGGAAACUGGGGCUAAUACCGGAUAGGAGCUCCUGCUGCAUGGUGGGGGUUGGAAAGUUUCGGCGGUUGGGGAUGGACUCGCGGCUUAUCAGCUUGUUGGUGGGGUAGCGGCUUACCAAGGCUUUGACGGGUAGCCGGCCUGAGAGGGUGACCGGCCACAUUGGGACUGAGAUACGGCCCAGACUCCUACGGGAGGCAGCAGUGGGGAAUAUUGCACAAUGGGCGGAAGCCUGAUGCAGCAACGCCGCGUGCGGGAUGACGGCCUUCGGGUUGUAAACCGCUUUCGCCUGUGACGAAGCGUGAGUGACGGUAAUGGGUAAAGAAGCACCGGCUAACUACGUG